rnacentral:antisense_RNA from 1 species
UGUGGGCGCUGGCUUGUCUGCGAUGCAGGUACCUCGGUUGUUCAGAGACUCCGAGGUGAUGCUAUCGCAGGCAAGCCAGCGCCCACA